UGGGGGAUAUUGCACAAUGGGCGAAAGCCUGAUGCAGCGACGCCGCGUGGGGGAUGAAGGCCUUCGGGUUGUAAACUUCUUUUGCUCUGAACAAGUCGCACCAUGGGGUGUGUUGAGUGUAGGGGUUGAUUAGCGCCGGCUAACUACGUGCCAGCAGCCGCGGUAAUACGUAGGGCGCGAGCGUUGUCCGGAAUUAUUGGGCGUAAAGGGCUUGUAGGUGGCUGGUUGCGUCUGUCGUGAAAGCUCAUGGCUUAACUGUGGGUUUGCGGUGGGUACGGGCUGGCUUGAGUGCAGUAGGGGAGGCUGGAAUUCCUGGUGUAGCGGUGGAAUGCGCAGAUAUCAGGAGGAAUACCGGUGGCGAAGGCGGGUCUCUGGGCUGUUACUGACACUGAGGAGCGAAAGCAUGGGGAGCGAACAGG
rnacentral:rRNA from 1 species